CCAUCGCUCGAUCCAGAAACCCCAUCGGUACGCGUACUGCGGCGGCGGGGGGCGGUGCUGGACUGCAGCUGGUGCUGGAGCUUGGAGGUCGGUCCAGCGGCGGGGGCGGCGGUGGGGAGCGGCUCCGGCGCACCGCGGCACUGAGCAGCGCGAGCUUGGUGGCGCCCCACUGGCCGGAGUGCCGGUGAUGGAUUCCGAUGAAGAGGAGGAUUGGAUAGGGAUAGCUGCUGCCGUUGAACUCGAAGAGGCUGAGGCUGAGGCUGCUGCUGCCAAAGAAGCUGCGGGUGUGACAGGGGCAGUAGCUUCGGCGCCCAGAUCAACCAACCGGAAGCGACCACAUGACUCCGAUGACCAGCAGGUCUCGUUCGGAAAUUGGAAUUAUGGGAUCAUAUUGUGGCAUAAGUGAGCAUUUUUAAGUGACAAGAGUCCAUGUUAGCAGUUUACUAGUUUUUAAGAGCCUUUUUAUUCAUUUGUUGUUGAAUGCUAUGAGUUUUGGUUGAAUAGACUUGCAUUUCUAGUGAAAAAAAAUUAGACAUUAAAUGUUCGCCCCAGCUAACUCCAAUUCCAAUUCCUGGGUCUGCCACUGAGGACAAUGUUGGAGG